CUAGUACUACUAACUCUGCCACUGGCCCAGUCAUUUUUGUGCAUAUGCAAGCUGUCAAGUAUACCACUUGCAUAGUCACAAAAGUGAUUGGGACAACUGAGUGCGCACUAACAACCAAG
rnacentral:precursor_RNA from 14 species